AAGCCUAUUAUUUCCUUUCUGCUGACAUCCC
rnacentral:piRNA from 1 species